rnacentral:pre_miRNA from 1 species
UGUGCACCGGUGGGGUCCCUCGGCCUGGCCUGCACCCUCUCACAAUCUGGACCCCUUGGGGGAUGUCAGAGAGUCGGUUUCACCCCGAUCCUGCAGGCCAGGCCGAGGGACCCCACUGGUGCAUG